AUGGUGUCAUGUCUCAUUGUUGAUGCGUUUACAGGUGUUAGUGUUUCACCGCCACAGCUACCGGGUGACAAAUACACCGUGGUCUACUACGGUGCCCUCACGGCUCCCCUAUGGUCACCCAACUCACAUCUCCUUGUCACCAAUGGAUCCCACAGUUUCUUCUGGCGUGUUGCUGGUCAUUCUUGGUUGAGGCGUUGUCCUUGCGAUGGAACGGUCAAGCAGAUCGUGACCUUCAGAGGCCAGAUCUUUGGGAUGGACUCUGAUGGCAUGCUCUUUGCCGUGCAUUUGGUACCUCAGAUCUGCAUACAAAAAAUGAUAGUAAGUUGGGAGGAAAUCAUGUCCACCAUACGGCAUCUUGCCAAUGUAUGCCUGGUGGCGUGUGGGGAUAUGCUUCUCAUGGUCGGUUGUCGGGGAUCAUUUCCAGCGAGAGGGAAUACCUUUGAAGCCUUCCGCCUCGACCAGUCAACUGGGCAUCCAAAGUGGGUACAGGUGGAGGAAUUGGGGAAUUGGGCGAUCUUCAUCAGCACCGACAAAAGAGGCCAGCCAUUAUCUUUCAUGAACCCAAAGAGGUGGGGAGGAAAGAGCAACCGAGUAUACUGCUAUUCCCAUGAUUCUGAACAUUGGGCUGCAUUUGAGCUGGGCAAGCCCGCCUCCGAUCCAGACAACUUUGUUUCAAUGAGCCAAGGCAGCAUGGUGCAGCCUAUGUGGGUUGUCCCCAGCAUGUUCUCUCGGUGUCUUUGA
rnacentral:rRNA from 1 species